AGUACGCUGACAAUAUUGUAAAGGUGUACGCCACCUCUAUGGCAAUGCUCUUGACGAUGGUGUUAUCAGUGAUACUCUUCAACUUCAAGCCAACAGUACAGCUCUUUUUGGGUAUCAUUAUCUGCAUGAUGUCCUUACAUAUGUACUUUGCUCCUCCAAGCACACUAGUGGAUUUGCCUUUGACAGUAAAACCGGUUUCUGAGAGUGUAUCUGAAGUGCCUGCUGAAUGAAAAACAGAUUCCUG
rnacentral:misc_RNA from 1 species